GUCUGUAAGGUUGCCAUAUUGUCUGUAAGGUCACCACAUUGUCUGUAAGGUUGCCAUAUUGUCUGUAAGGUCACCAUAUUGCCUGUAAGAUCACCACAUUAUCUGUGAGGUUACAACAUUGUCUGUAAAGUAACCCCAUUGUCUGUAAGGUCAUAAUAUUCUCUGACAGAUUACAAUAUGGUCUGAAAGUCACCAUAUUGUCUGAAAGGUCACCAUAUUGCCUGUAAGGUCACUAUAUUGUUUGUAUUGUAUAAGGUCACGAUAUUGCCUGUAAGGUCACUAUAUUGUUUGUAUUGUCUAAGAUCACCAUAUUGCCUGUAAGAUCACCAUAUUGUCUAAGGUCAUCAUAUUGUCUUAGGUCACCAUAUUGCCUCUAAGGUCACCAUAUUACCUGUAAGGUCACCGUAUUGUCUGCAAGGUCACCAUGUUGUCUAAGGUCACCAUAUUGCUUGUAAGUUCACCGUAUUGUCUAAGGUCAUCGUAUUGCCUGUAAGGUCACCAUAUUGCUGUUAAGGUAGCUAUAUUGCCUGCAAGGUCACCAUAUUGCUUGUAAGGUCACCAUGUUGCUUGUAAGGUCACUACACUGUCAGUAAAAUGAACCACAAUGUCUGUAUAGUAAACAUUACUAUAAGGUGGACCACUAUGUAAGGUGGACCAUUUUGUAAGGUGGACCACUGUGUAAGGUGGACCACUUUGUAAGGUGGACCACUAUGUAAGGUGGACCGCUUUGUAAGGUGGACCACUAUGUAAGGUGGACCACUGUGUAUGGUGGACCACAAUGUAAGGUGGACCACUUCAUAAAGUGCACCACAUGGUAAGAUAGAUCACAUUAUAAAGUGGACUACACUUUUGUAAGGUGGAUCACACGUUAAGAUAGAUAACAUUGUUUUAAGGUGUAACCCACUGCUGACAAGGUUACCUUGUGUUA